GACGUGACUUCAGAGUUUGAUCCUGGCUCAGGAUGAACGCUGGCGGCGUGCAUAACACAUUCAAGUCGAACGGAGUUUUGAGAAUUAAUCCUUCGGGAGGCGUUUUUAGAACUUAGUGGCGGACGGGUGAGUAACGCGUGAGCAACCUGCCUCUGUGAGGGGGAUAACGUCUGGAAACGGACGCUAAUACCGCAUGACGUAUGAGAUUCGCAUGUUUUUCAUACCAAAGAUUUAUCGCACAGAGAUGGGCUCGCGUCUGAUUAGGUAGUUGGUAAGGUAACGGCUUACCAAGCCUGCGAUCAGUAGCCGGACUGAGAGGUUGAACGGCCACAUUGGAACUGAGAUACGGUCCAG
rnacentral:rRNA from 1 species